CCCUUAGAUGUUCUGGGCCGCACGCGCGCUACACUGACGAAGUCAGCGAGCAUGUCCUACGCUGACAGGUGCGGGGAAUCUUGUCAAACCUCGUCGUGAUGGGGAUUGAUUAUUGAAAUUCUUGAUCAUCAACGAGGAAUUCCUAGUAAGCGCAAGUCAGCAGCUUGCGUUGAUUACGUCCCUGCCCUUUGUACACACCGCCCGUCGCUACUACCGAUUGAAUGGUUUAGUGAGAUCUUCGGAUUGGCGCCACUGCGGCUCAGCAAUGGGCUCGGUGGAUGCCGAAAAGUUGAUCAAACUUGAUCAUUUAGAGGAAGUAAAAGUCGUAACA
rnacentral:rRNA from 1 species